rnacentral:lncRNA from 1 species
AAGUUGCAGAUUUUUUAUUAAAUAUUGGUACUGGAAUCUGAGUACCGGUAAGCAAUACAAAAAGAGGAAAAUGAGCACUCGAAUUUUGAGGAAUCAAACCUGAAUAUCGGUACUGAAUUUUAAUUGAGUAUAGAUACUGAAAAUCGAGUACCGGUACGCGGUAGAAAAUCGGGAAUCCAACGUUCGAAUUGAGGUACUGAAAAUUGGGUAC